GACCCCGUAGCUCAGCAGGAUAGAGCAUCAGAUUCCUAAUCUGAGGGCCGUGGGUUCGAAUCCCGCCGGGGUCACCA
rnacentral:tRNA from 1 species